AGCCAUGCGAGUCGUUGUAGCAAUACAAGGCGGACGGCUCAGUAACACGUAGUCAACCUAACCUAUGGACGUGGAUAACCUCGGGAAACUGAGAAUAAACCGCGAUAGAUCAUAAUGCCUGGAACGGCUUAUGGUCCAAACAAUUUAUUGCCGUAGGAUGGGACUGCGGCCUAUCAGCUUGUUGGUGAGGUAAUGGCCCACCAAGGCUAUAACAGGUACGGGCUCUGAGAGGAGAAGCCCGGAGAUGGGUACUGAGACACGGACCCAGGCCCUAUGGGGCGCAGCAGGCGAGAAACCUUAGCAAUGUGCGAAAGCACGACUAGGUUAAUCCGAGUGGUUCCUGCUAAAGGAACCUUUUGUCAGUCGUAAAACCACAGACGAAUAAGGGGUGGGCAAGUCUGGUGUCAGCCGCCGCGGUAAUACCAGCACCUCGAGUGGUCAGGAGGUUUAUUGGGCCUAAAGCAUCCGUAGCCGGCUAUGCAAGUCUCCGGUUAAAUCCAACUGCUCAACAGAUGGGCUGCCGGAGAUACUACAUAGCUAGGGAGCGGGAGAGGAAGACGGUAUUCUGUGGGUAGGGGUAAAAUCCACUGAUCCAUAGAGGACCACCAGUGGCGAAGGCGGUCUUCCAGAACGCGUUCGACGGUGAGUGAUGAAAGCUGGGGGAGCAAACCGGAUUAGAUACCCGGGUAGUCCCAGCUGUAAACGAUGCAAACUCGGUGAUGCGUUGGCUUAUGGGCCAACGCAGUGCCGCAGGAAGCCGUUAAGUUUGCCGCCUGGGAAGUACGGACGCAAGUCUGAACUCAAAGGAAUUGACGG
rnacentral:rRNA from 1 species